rnacentral:rRNA from 1 species
GCAAGAUUUAAAAAUUCAAAUGAAUUGACGGGGGCCCGCACAAGCGGGUGGAGCAUGUGGUUUAAUUCGAUGCAACGCGAAGAACCUUACNUACUCUUGACAUCUACAGAAGCCAGCGGAGACGCAGGUGUGCCUUCGGGAACUGUAAGACAGGUGCUGCAUGGCUGUCGUCAGCUCGUGUUGUGAAAUGUUGGGUUAAGUCCCGCAACGAGCGCAACCCUUAUCCUUGUUUGCCAGCACUUCGGGUGGGAACUCCAGGGAGACUGCCGGUGAUAAACCGGAGGAAGGUGGGGACGACGUCAAGUCAUUAUGGCCCUUACGAGUAGGGCUACACACGUGCUACAAUGGCGCAUACAGAGGGCGGCCAACUUGCGAAAGUGAGCGAAUCCCAAAAAGUGCGUCGUAGUCCGGAUUGGAGUCUGCAACUCGACUCCAUGAAGUCGGAAUCGCUAGUAAUCGUGGAUCAGAAUGCCACGGUGAAUACGUUCCUGGGCCUUGUACACACCGCCCGUCACACCAUGGGAGUGGGCUGCAAAAGAAGUGGGUAGUUUAACCUUCGGGAGGACGCUCACCACUUUGUGGUUCAUGACUGGGGUGAAGUCGUAACAAGNNAACCGAAGGGCGAAUUCCAGCACACUGGCCGCCGNUANNUAGNNNNNCNNGNGCU